AAGUCGUAACAAGGUUUCCGUAGGUGAACCUGCGGAAGGAUCAUUAACACUUUUUCCCUUUCCCUAACCUGGAGUGGGAGUUUGGCAGAAAGACCUUUUUAUCGGGGUUUUCUUUGCUAAGCUUCUCUUCAGACCACCCCUUUGUGUGCACUUGUUGAGAGGGAGAAGCCAGAAGCUUUAUUGUCUUUUGGUAGAUCUCUCUUACUAUUUUUCCAUUUUUUCUUUUUUUUACCCCUUUUUUAAUGCGAUAGACUGAAAUAAUGACCUAUUGGAAGGGUCUGAAACCUCCAAAAAUUGUAAUACAACUCUUAGCAACGGAUAUCUAGGCUCUC
rnacentral:misc_RNA from 1 species